rnacentral:rRNA from 1 species
GAUGAACGCCGGCGGUGUGCCUAAUACAUGCAAGUCGAACGCGUUGGCCUAAUUGAUUGAUGGUGCUUGCACCUGAUUGAUUUUGGUCGCCAACGAGUGGCGGACGGGUGAGUAACACGUAGGUAACCUGCCCAGAAGCGGGGGACAACAUUUGGAAACAGAUGCUAAUACCGCAUAACAGCGUUGUUCGCAUGAACAACGCUUAAAAGAUGGCUUCUCGCUAUCACUUCUGGAUGGACCUGCGGUGCAUUAGCUUGUUGGUGGGGUAACGGCCUACCAAGGCGAUGAUGCAGAGCCGAGUUGAGAGACUGAUCGGCCACAAUGGGACUGAGACACGGCCCAUACUCCUACGGGAGGCAGCAGUAGGGAAUCUUCCACAAUGGGCGCAAGCCUGAUGGAGCAACACCGCGUGAGUGAAGAAGGGUUUCGGCUCGUAAAGCUCUGUUGUUAAAGAAGAACACGUAUGAGAGUAACUGUUCAUACGUUGACGGUAUUUAACCAGAAAGUCACGGCUAACUACGUG